AGCCAGACUCCUACGGGAGGCAGCAGUGGGGAAUAUUGCACAAUGGGGGAAACCCUGAUGCAGCGACGCCGCGUGAGCGAUGAAGUAUUUCGGUAUGUAAAGCUCUAUCAGCAGGGAAGAAGAUGACGGUACCUGACUAAGAAGCCCCGGCUAACUACGUGCCAGCAGCCGCGGUAAUACGUAGGGGGCAAGCGUUAUCCGGAUUUACUGGGUGUAAAGGGAGCGUAGACGGCGAUGCAAGCCAGAUGUGAAAGCCCGGGGCUCAACCCCGGGACUGCAUUUGGAACUGUGUGGCUGGAGUGUCGGAGAGGCAGGCGGAAUUCCUAGUGUAGCGGUGAAAUGCGUAGAUAUUAGGAGGAACACCAGUGGCGAAGGCGGCCUGCUGGACGAUGACUGACGUUGAGGCUCGAAAGCGUGGGGAGCAAACAGGAUUAGAUACCCGUGUAC
rnacentral:rRNA from 1 species